rnacentral:rRNA from 1 species
UACGGAGGGUGCAAGCGUUAUCCGGAUUCACUGGGUUUAAAGGGUGCGUAGGCGGCUUGAUAAGUCAGUGGUGAAAGCUCGCAGCUCAACUGUGAAACUGCCAUUGAAACUGUCUAGCUUGAAUCUGGUUGAAGUGGGCGGAAUACAACAUGUAGCGGUGAAAUGCUUAGAUAUGUUGUAGAACACCGAUUGCGAAGGCAGCUCACUAAGCCAACAUUGACGCUGAGGCACGAAAGCGUGGGUAGCGAACAGG